ensembl:lncRNA
AUAAUGAACACAGGCUGCUUUGUCAUGUCAAAUGAUUUUGGAAGCCUCACAAAUGACUAAGAUUCCAUUAUUGAGCCCUGGGAAAUGAGUGUGAAGGCUUUGUUAUGACUUAAAAUAUCAGAAUGAGUCAUGGUAGGAUGGAGGGCAGGAAGGUAGAGAUUCAGAAAUUGUUACUGCAAAGUCAGUCUCCAAAGAUGGCUCCGAUCUCACCAUAUUCAACUGUUCAUCACCAGCAUCCGUCUCUCGUUAACCAACUUCCCUAGACUCCCAAGGACCACAUUUAUCAGAGCAAUAAUGAGCAGGGAUAGAUUCUGACUGCCCUUGGCCAUGAUGGUUUUGGGGGUACGGAGAAAUGGAGUGGGACUUUUCUUAUUGUCUAGGGAUUGGCAUAUGAAGCCCAAACAAAGGUCAUAGGUGAAAUAAACUCAUGUUCUCAAAAAAUGAUGGGUUGAGGCCAGACACCUCCCUUAAACUUUCUAAGAUGUGGGUUAACUCUUUGCAUCCUAUUAGUUAGAUGUCUGCUGACACAGGAGAUGAGCAGGUUUGCCCUUGCGCCACCCUGAGCAGGGAACUGGAGCAGGCUGCUUGGCCAUCAUCUGGUUGGCAAGGAAAGAACAGUUUUCCAGGAGCCUGGACAUAGCCAGGUUCGAAUCCCUCUGUCUGGUGCAUUCAAAGAGGGCUGCAUGGUCUCUGGGGAGGGCCUCUGGCACUUGAGAGGCACUGAAGCUUCUGUUGGAGUGAAGAGUCGAAUGGAGGAAGAAGGGGAACCAGCUCCUGGGGGCCGUGCAGUGGGAUGCUCACCACACCCCUCCGAGGAACUUGCAGGUGUGCUGUUUCCUAAAGAGGACCAAGGCCGGGCUGGGAACUACUGGCAGAAAAAGCAGGAGAGGACACCAACUGUUGUAGACCAGCAAAGCUAUGAAUAUGCUCUGCUUAAAGAACUCUAAAAACUGGCCUUGAAAAACUAAGCACAGAAUUAAGGUUGCAGACUAUCGCACCUUGGGAAGAAUGCCAAGCAGUUAAUAUGUAUUGCUGUUGCAAUCAAGCUGGUGCCACCCAGACCAGCAGAUGGUUCAUCGCUCAAGAUGGUCAUCAAGACUAGAUAUACUGACCCACAUAUAGUCAACCCAUGCACAGAGCUUCUCCAUAUCCUCCCUCCCAGAAAAGCCCUCUGGCCAGCUUGAGAAACUUGAGAUGGUCUUUGUGAUACUAGCCUACCAUCUCUUUAGGUUGUCAGCUCCCGAAUAAAUCUGCUUUUCCUCUCACCAACUCUUGACUCCUGAGUUUGCCUUUUGAGUGGCGAGUGGCCAGACCUGGGUUCAGUUAUAAGAGGGGACCCUAUCCCCUGAUAAAAAGGUACACUUUACAAUCCUGUCCAUCAUGUAAGUGCCAAUCAAAGGUAAAAUUACUGUCCUGUAGCUCUCCUUCUCACAAACAGUUUUCACUCUUCUUCACCUGCUUAAGGUCCUGGUUACAAAUGGGAGUGCUUCCCUCAGUCACCUCCCCUUCUGAGACUGCAGCCACAUGGUCUACCAGCUGGCUGCCUGGUGCCCCAGCAUCUGCGUUGCUGCCAUGUGCUGAAAUCUUCCUCCCCUGAGCUUUGCUUUAUUAGAACAAUUUCCUAAGUUCCAUUUCACCAACAUCAAGAAGACAGAGAUGAACUAUCUAAAUAAAAUAACGCCUGCCAUCUUUUCCUUCAGUUCCUAUUGAUUGUGACUUAAUCUCUUGAGGCAAGUUGAUGGGCUUAAUAUUAAACUGAAAUACCAAGGGUUAGCAAAGGAAUCAGAGAAUUGAGUACAAAUAAAAUUGUCCACAAGUGGAAUUUUCCCAACUCUCCAAAGGGGUUGGCUUAAAGCAUGUCAGCCAGGAUUAAACCCAGGCAUUCCGACUCCAGAGCCUUAGGUCACAUACAGAUGAGUUGCACAGCAGGAAUGGGAGGGAGCAAAAGGUCCACUCUUGUUCCCUGUGCCACACAGCUCCUGAAAAAUUGUGUAUUAACUGCAUUGGUAUGAAUAUAAUUCUAUACAUUGUCUUUGAGCUGCUUUCAGAAGGGAUCCUCAGUCUAUAGGGAGAUUCAGAGGAGGUAGAAACUGCCCCCAAACAAGGUGCCUCUGAAAAUUCAUGUUAAGGCUGGUUCAAGGCCAGUCUUAGUUUUGGAAUGAGAGAGGUUCUCUGGGGUGUGAUAUUUGGGGCAAGGAGUGGCCAAGGCCUAUACCUCAAAACAUCUCUUCCAAGAGAUGUGCCUACAUUCCGUAAAGUCAAGAAACGUUGCUUUGAUGUACUUAAGAGCCCAGGGGUACCCUGUUAAAAUACAAUUUCUAGAAUGAAGUAUUAAACAAUACAUUUUUGAAUAAAUAGAAAUAAGAAAAUUGAUCACUAGAGGUCAAUUUGGUUCCUGGGAACAGUCCCACUGUUUUUUUCUGUCUGAAGACAAAGCGAAGGCCCCAUGAAGCUGUGAGCUCCUGCCCCAGAGAUGCUGAAGAAGAAUACAGAUAACCCCCACCAGAACAGGGGGCCCCAUCUGCUCUGGCCAUGGGUUUGGAUUUACAAAGUCCUCCAAUGUCUCCAAGAUCUCUUCUUCUGAUUCUGGGGAUAACAGGGAGAAGAGUACCCACUCACCUGCGAUAAGCUAUUGGGCUUUACUCGGGACUAGCUUGGGUGAGAGCACAGCCUACACCUUAUGCAGUUCCGUUAUCCCAGGCAGGGAUUUGUGGUUUAAAAUAUAGGUUUUAUUAGUAUUCAGAUAUGGUGAGGCUAACACAUCAGGAGACAAUUGCCAUUGAAAAGAUUGCUAUACUCACAAUUCCCAAGAGGAAGGGGCCCACCAAGCCAUGCAGGGGGGUAGAGGGGACGAGGGGAAGUCCUGGGGUCAGUUGGGAGGCAGAAGUAGUGAGAGGAAAACAUGGCCAAGAGCCUUUAUUGCGGUUUUCAUGGGAAGGAGCAAGCCGGCCAGUUUAAGAGGGCUUGGCAUUGACUAGUUUAAAUAACUUCAGCAAAUUCAGGGCCAUAGAGGCCAUCCCUAGUUGUCUGGCACCUGGCCCUGGGUGAGAGCCUUACAGAGAAGGUGGUUGGGGGUAUGGGCUCUGGAUUGGUUGGUGUGCAUUUGAAAGGCACAUUUAUAAGCAAGGUGCUCGCCAUUUCCAGGGAUUAGCAUGGGAGAGGCAGUCUCUCCAGGGUCAGCAAGUCCCUAAGAUAGCAAAGCAUCAAAAAUACAGAGUAAAAAUAAGUGAUUAAUACACUUUGUAUCUGGCAGGCAUUCAAAUAUUGAAAGAAUGAAUGAAUGAAUAAGUGUUUGCACAAGUGAGAUACUGAGUGGACCUAUUUGAAAAGAGAGAGUGGAAGAAUGGGCCCAGGAUGUGAGGGACUGCAGAGGACACUUGGAACAGGGGCCAGCAAAAGGGCUCUGAGCUCCAGAGAGGAACAACGAAGAGUAACCCUAAGGAUGCAGCUUGAGCUGUGGCCCCCAAAAGAUAGGUCCACAACCUAAUCCAUGGAAUCUGUGAAUGGACCUUAUGUGAGAAAAACAUCUUUACAAAGGUAAUUAAGUGAGAGACCUGAAGACGAUGACAUCCUAGAUCAGGCCAGAGCCUAAAUCCAAUGAUGAGUAUCUUUAUAAUGACGAGGGUCUUUAUAAGAGAUGUGAAAGGGAGAAGACACAGACAACAGACACAGAGGGAAGGCCACGGGAGGGCAAGGCAGAGACUGGAGUGAUGCUGCCACGAGUCAAGAGGAGCACCUGGAACCACCAGAGGUAGAUGAGGCAAGGACAGACUUUCCCUCGAUGUUUUUGAGGAAGUGUGGCCCUGCCAACACCUUGAUUUUGGACUCCUGGGCUCCAGAACUGUAAGAGAAUAAAUCGCUUUUAUUUUAGGCUACCAAGUC